rnacentral:misc_RNA from 1 species
UUUCCGUAGGUGAACCUGCGGAAGGAUCAUUAAAGAGAUCAUGCCCUCACGGGUAGACCUCCCACCCUUUGUUUACAAUACCUUUGUUGCUUUGGCGGGCCCGUUUGGCCCCGCGCUGAACAACCGGCCCCGGCUGGUCAGUGCCCGCCAGAGAACGAAAACUCUGAAUUAAAUGUCGUCUGAGUACUAUGUAAUAGUUAAAACUUUCAACAACGGAUCUCUUGGUUCUG